GAAGGCUAGACGUUAACCAGGGAAGCCAAGAGGUGGCUGAGGGAAAAAAGAGCAAUUCAGAAAAACUCACUUCCCCUGCCUCUGGGCAAGUUGUCAGAGGCAAUAAAGCAUUUUCUUUAUAGUUUAUAAAGUUUUCUUAAUUGCAUAUGAUAAAGUUUUUCUUAUUGGGCUUGGAUGGCCCUAACGCAGGGGGAGAUAAUCUCAGGAGGAGGCUCCUUUCUGGACUCCCCUCCCCCAAUCCAGAAGCUCCCAGAAAAGGUACUUUGAAUGGUUAAUGUCCCACCAUGGGAGGCCAAGCGGAGGGAAGAAGACAGAGAGGAGGUGAGUUGGGAAUUGGAGAAUGGAGGAAAGCCUGUGUUUUUAACAGCCUCCUGCUGCUAGCAACCAGUAUUCUAGACGCUUCCCUAUGCCAGACGAAUGCCCCCGUGCCUGGGCAUGUCUGCCUUAAGAGAUCUAUUUAGCUGAUACACGCCGAGGAGAGAACCCGAGGGAGAACGCUCCCCUUGCUAAUCAAACAUAACUUUGUUCUCUGGUAGGUCUAAGGAGGGAAACGUUUGUUUCACAAGUUGCUUUAACUAUUUUUAAGGAGACGCCCGAGUGACCACAAAAGCUGGGCUUCCCGAGCCCAGCCUGGAGCUUGGCAACCAGCAACAUGGCAACUCGUAGCUAUAACAUGACGCGGGUACGAGCGUGUGUGUGUAUUUUUCAAAGCUGGGCUUUAAAACAAUGAAAUAGACCAUCCUCGCUCCCUGCAACUCUGCUCUCUAGAGACCCCUGGUGGCCACGACGGGAGUAUGCCGAUGGGCUUCAAAGCGCACCCCGACUGGGGGUUUCCACCUUUCUCAGCUGGAGGAAGGAAGCUUCUGGCACACCUGCCUCUCCCUUUUCUCCCUAUUUGCCUGAGCAAGGCAUAAGAUGUCUGAGGGUUAGGAACUAUGUGACUUCAUUACUUCAAGAGAAUUGGUUAUCACCUGGAAGAAGUGAUCUCAAAGCCCUGAGUAAAUGAACCGAUCAAGAAUGAAAUCAUCUUGCCCAGCCUGACAGCUGAUGACUAACUGAGAAGGAAGAGAGGUGGUAAUGACUACUUAGUAAGGCCACACCAUGUGACUGAAAACAAAGUAGAAAUAACAAUGCAUCAGUCUCUGCCAGGAUGUUUUAACCAAUUGUUUCUGGAUGAUAGCAUGUGAUAACAUUCAUAUUGCAGUUCUGAAGGUGAUUAUGGUGACCUAUGUGGAAAGCAUUAUAUAAUACCUAAUGGGAAUUCAAUCGGGCUGAAGCCAGAACCGAAACUUUAUUUUAGGUUUCUCAGUAACCUUUGCUCACUGACAAAAGUGUCUGUAAGCUAAUGGGCUUUUGGGAAGAGGGCAUAGCAUAGCUCUUGUAAAAAGCAGCAGUAUGAUGUUAUAUUAGGCAGGUGGGGGAGACCAGACAGGAAGGCUUUUACACAAUACAAAGCAAAACUCAUAAACUUGGGAAAACAGGAUAUCCAUGGAGGUAAAGAAAAAAAAUGAAUGCAGUGACUAUUCAUUCCUUCCUGCCUAUUUAAGGCCUAGUGAAAUAAUUACCAGAACCAAGCAUGAUGCUCUAGCUACAGAAGACCUUUCAUAAACGUUUAUUUAAUUUAAUUGUUUGAACUUGGAAUGUGGUACUGUAUGGGAAUACUGUUGUAUUUCAUUACUCUUUUAAUGAUUUACUCUGUUUCCUUUAUUAGGAUAUAUAAAAGAGGGGUGUGUGUGUGUGUGUGUGUGUGUGUGUAUGUGUAUAAGUAAUCUGGGUUAACAUAUGGAAUAUUGCUGGCAUCUGUGAUUUGAUCCAGUGAAAAUUCGAUGUUUUUCUGGUCCCCAAAUAGAAUCAGAAUUUUAAAGCUGGAUGCAUGGGGUCUGGAGCUGGAAUUUCAUUAGACAGGAGACUCUCAGGUGAGGAAUCUCCUCCUCCUGGUGUAAGUGUACACCUUCUCUAUUCCACUAUAUCGACUAGGCAGUUUUCCUAACAAGAGCAUUGACUGAUUUGCCAAGUGUCUCAUAUCCUGUAUGAGUCAGGACUUGAACUGAGAUCUUCUAAACUCUGGUACCAGCUCUUUGUAUUAUAGCUGAAAGGAACUUAAGAAAUCAAUCCAACUUCUUUGUUUUCAAGAAAGAUCAGGGUUAGGCUUAGGGUUAGUGUGGCUAAGUAGAUAGAGAGUCAGACCUAGAGAAAGGAGGCCAGGGGUUCUAAUUUGACCUCGGACACUUCCUAGCUGUAUGAGACUGGCCAAGUCACUUGACCCCCAUUGCCUGGUCCUUACCACUCUUUUUGUCCUGGAACAACUGAUAUUUGGUAUCCAUUUUAAGACAUAAGGUAAGGAUGUAAGGAUUACUAACAAAAACAAAAAGAAAAAGAAAAAAAGAUUUAGGAAGGAAGGACACAAACAUUUAAGUGCUUACUUGUGUGCUAGGCAUUACAAAGUACUUUACAAAUAUUAUAUAAAUUUAACCCCACAAGAACCCUGAGAGGUAGAUGUAUAUUAUUAUUCCCAUAUUACAAGGAAGGAAACUGAGGCACAGAGUGGUUAAAUGACUUGCCCAAGUUCAUACACAGCUAGCAUAUGUCCGAGGUUAGAUCUGAGCUCUGCUGUACCUGACUAUGUACUGCACUGCCUAGUUGCUGCCUAAGACCAUACAAUUUAUCUGUGGCUCUCUCCCUAUCACCUGACUCUUAAGCCCCAUUCUCUUUCUAGUUUCCUGGGGCUUCUGUUCCUUGACACUUGAUAAGGGGUGUGAGAGAAUAGAAUGAUGACUGGUACAGCAAAUGUCUGAUGCAACAUCAGGAAAUUAUACUGAUCUCUAGGACUCCAGAUCAAGAAAAGAAAUCCAAAGUAUUAUGACAGGCUACUAAACAAGUUAGCAUAGCAGGCUAGUGUUGAUUGUGAUCCUGAUUUCUUGAGGAGAAUAAAAGAAAACACUCAAUUUGGGAUUUUACUCUUCUAAAAAAGUUGAAGACCAUUAUCGUUUUAGAAUUGAAAGGAUCUUUAGAGAUCUAAGUAGACUAACCAUUUCAUUUUACAGGUGAAGAAAUUGAACCUAAGUGCAUCAGUUGUUCAGGGCCAGAAAGCUAGCUGAUGGUAGUCAAAAUCAGAGCACAAGUCUCCUGACAUCCCAUUUCUCACUCUUUACUCCCCCCUUCCUGUAGUAAUUUUGAACCUUUUACUGGGAAGAUUACAGUGAAAAUCUUCUGGGACAAGAGUUCUUAAUCUGCAGCUGUUUGAUUGUUUUAGUCAUGUCCAACUAACUUUUUAUGACUCCAUUUGGGGCUUUCUUGGCAAAGACACUGGAGUGGUUUGACAUUUCCUUCUCCACCUUAUUUUAAAGAUGAGGAAACUGAGGCCAACAGGGAGAAGUGACUUGCUCUUAGGCUGAAUUUGAACUCAGGAAGAUAAAGUCUAACUGACAGCAGGCCCACCACUCUAUCCGAUUUGCCACUUGACUGCCCCUAAUUUGAAGUAUGUGAUCUUAAAAACAUUUUUUGGAUGAUAUAUUCAAUGUGAUUGAUUUCCUUUGUAAUCCUACAUAUUUUAUACAUUUAAAAAACAAUAUUCCUAGAAGAGGUUGAUUCAUAAGAUUCUUCUCACCGCCAAGAAUUAAGGGGUGCUUUGUAUACAGAGACUGAUACAUUAUGGCACAAUUAAAUGUAAUAGACUUUUCUACUGGCAGCAAUGCAAUGAUUCAGGACAAUACAGAGGAAUUUACGGGAAAGAACGCCAUCCACAUCCAAAGGAAGAACUGUGGCAGUAGAAAUGGAGAAGAAAAGCAUAUCAUGUGGUUUGAUGAGUAUCUGCUUAGGGUUUUGAUGUUAAAAGAUCACUCUAUUGCAAAUAUGAAUAAUAUGUAAAUGGGUUUUGAACUAUGAUACAGUGGAAAUGCUUGUUAGCUCCUGGAGUGGGGUGGGGAGAAUCAUGAAUCAUGUAACCAUGGGAAAAUAUUCCAAAUUAAAAAAAAUUAAAAAUAAAAGAAUUAGGGGGUGCUUCUAGGACAAAAAAGAGAUUAAGAAUCUCUGUUCUAGGCUAUAAAUAUGGCUUAUCCUUGGCCCACCAUAGACAGAGCUACCGUGUGCCUUUUCAGCAUUCCUAUUCCUAUUUGGUCCUACCCAAAGUGUAUAGUAGUCGGGGAGUAGUUAAGCUCUUGAUGUCUUUUGAGUUUAAAGGAAGGACUCCAGAUCAGAUUUUAAAAGCCUUCUGAUACUUCCUGGUUCUCACAGAAAGAGCUAGUUGGGCCAGGCAGUGAACAUUUAUUAAUCACUUACCUUUGGAAAACACCCUUGCAUACAGUAAAAAAAAAAAGAACCUUCCUUUGCCUUCAAGGAGCUUACAUUCUAAUAGAGGAAGACCACACACAAAAGAGAGCUGAAAAAAAGUUCACUCCCUCUGUGCUUUGCACUUGUCUUUCCACUUUCACCCAGAAAUCACCAUUAUAUAGUUCAUCCAUUUGGAUCUAGAGGUAAUAGUGCAUACUGCUAGCUACUCUUUUUAUAUGGGUAAUUGUCCACACCUGACUCCCUUGAAAGAAGUCACAAUGUGCAAUAAAUAGUUGGAUAUAUCCUUACAAAUAAAUACUUUAAAUUUACAAGUUGACAUUUUUCUUCACUUGUUGGGCCCCUGUCCCUGGGGGGUACACAGCCUGUGCUACAGAGAUAGCAAACUAAAUAAAGCAAACAUUCCUUUCUUUCUCUUAGCCUACCAUAAACUGUUACUGCACGUGUGGACCUCUGAGAGGCUGGCUCUACCCAAGGCUUGGGCUAAAUGCCAGGAUUCAUUUAAUGUAGCUUAAGGAGGGCUCCUAAAGGUUUAUCUGGAAACAACAUUCUGCAUUCAUUAGAGUUAUAGACCCAUCAGACACAUUUUGAACCUGGACUUGGAAAAAACUCCUUUAAAAAAUAAACAAAACCAGUGUGUUGCAUGGAGACAUAAGAGAAAAUUGGCAUCUCCACACCCAUAGCUUCAAUUAAAAGAGACAGACAUAUGAAGACAUGCCUUUUAUCCUGAAACAAAUACCCUGGAGCAAAAAGAACUUUAUCUGUGGUUGCCUGGUAUUGCUUAUUUUCUUAAAUUCUCAAAAGGAAAGACUAUAAAAAGUGAGUAAUAAAUAAUAGAAAAUUAUAAAUAGUAACAAAUAAGUGAAUAAUAGUAAAAAACUAUAAUGUGAGUGUUAAAUAGUAAAAGCUAAAUAGUGAGUAAUUAAUAAAAACUAUACAUAUUAAUAAAUAGUAAAAACUACAAAUAGUAAUAAAA